CCUACGGGGGGCUGCAGUGGGGAAUAUUGCACAAUGGGGGAAACCCUGAUGCAGCGACGCCGCGUGAGUGAAGAAGUAAUUCGUUACGUAAAGCUCUAUCAGCAGGGAAGAAAAGCUGACCUUACGGUCAGCAGACGGUACCUGAGUAAGAAGCCCCGGCUAACUACGUGCCAGCAGCCGCGGUAAUACGUAGGGGGCAAGCGUUAUCCGGAUUUACUGGGUGGAAAGGGCGCGUAGACGGUGCGCCAAGUCUGGAGGGAAAUGCCGCAGCUUAACUGCGGAACUGCUUUGGAAACUGUCGAACUAGAGUGCGCGAGGGGUACGCGGAACUCCUAGUGUAGCGGUGAAAUGCGUAGAUAUUAGGAGGAACACCGGUGGCGAAGGCGGCUUACUGGACCGUAACUGACGUUGAGGCUCGAAAGCGUGGGGAGCAAACAGGAUUAGAUACCCGGGUAGUC
rnacentral:rRNA from 1 species